rnacentral:rRNA from 1 species
AGGAUGAACGCUGGCGGCGUGCCUAAUACAUGCAAGUCGAGCGGUAAGGCUCCUGCAGGUUGUUUAAGCGAAAGUUUGAAUGACGUGCUGGAGUACACGAGCGGCGGACGGCUGAGUAACACGUAGGAACGUACCCCAAAGUGAGGCAUAAGCACCAGAAAUGGUGUCUAAUACCGCAUGUGAUCUUCGGAUUAAAGCUUCGGCGCUUUGGGAACGGCCUGCGCAUGAUUAGCUUGUUGGUGAGGUAAUAGCUCACCAAGGCGACGAUCAUUAGCUGGUCUGAGAGGAUGACCAGCCAGACUGGGACUGAGAACGGCCCAGACUCCUACGGGAGCAGCAGUAGGAAUUUCCACAAUGGGC